UGUAUCAGUAGGCUAAUGAAUUGUAAUGGUCUAAUUUGGUAACCGUUUAAUUAGUGGUUGUAGAUUAGAAUAUCUAUUUUUGAUAGUUUAGAGAUUGUGACAGUGGCAACACAGUUUUGAAGAUGAAGGACCGACUGGAACAGUUGAAGGCGAAAAUGUGAUGUGGCUGGGGACGAUGUGGAGGUUCCAGUGGAGAACCAAGCCUUUAUGGAUGACUUCUUCGCCCAGAAUGAAGAAAGGAUUUACCCUGGGGAAUCAGUAACAAAGGGGCAAUGCCUUAUGGCAAUAAUGCUCUUUUUUCUGCGUCAUCACCUGACUGGAACUGCCCUGAUAGACCUACUUGCCUUGCUGAAUUUGCUUGUCUCCAACAUCUAAAUAUCUAUUCAAAAAGUUUUUGGGUAAUCCAGCCCUGACAGCUGUCUCUCGUUUAUUUUGUGAUGAAUGCCAAAAUUACUUAGGAAAGCAACCCGAAGACACAAAUUGCUCACAUUGUGGAAUGUUCUUCAUCAGAGAAACGAAAUGUUUUAAUUUUGUCAAUACCUUUGAGGCUCCUUCUGCGAGAUACACUGGAGAACCAUAGAAUAGAUGUUUUGAGGAAAACGGUGAAGGAAGAAGAAUAUGAAAUCGAGGAUGUCAUGGAUGGAAAGAUGUACCAAACAUUACUGAAAGAGAA